rnacentral:piRNA from 1 species
GGAGUUGGAAUAGGAGCUUGCUC